rnacentral:rRNA from 1 species
GAUGAACGCUAGCUACAGGCUUAACACAUGCAAGUCGCAGGGUAACAUGAGGAAAGCUUGCUUUCCUUGAUGACGACUGGCGCACGGGUGAGUAACGCGUAUCCAACCUUCCCAUAACUACGGGAUAACCCGUUGAAAGACGGCCUAAUACCGAUUGAUAUCGUUUGCUGACAUCAAAUAACGAUUAAAGGUUUAGCGGUUAUGGAUGGGGAUGCGUCUGAUUAGCUUGUUGGCGGGGUAACGGCCCACCAAGGCGACGAUCAGUAGGGGUUCUGAGAGGAAGGUCCCCUACAUCGGAACGACGGCACAGUCUAAACGCCUACGGGAGGCAGCAGUAAGGAAUAGUAGUCAAGGGGCGAGAGCCUAAACCAACCAAGUAGCGUGCAGGACGACGGCGCUAGGGGUGGUAAACUGCUUUUAGGGGGGGACAAAAGGCGAGACGUGUCAUGCAUUGCAGGUACCACAUGAAUAAGGACCGGCUAAUUCCGUG